rnacentral:rRNA from 1 species
AGAGUUUGAUCCUGGCUCAGAACGAACGCUGGCGGCGUGCUUAACACAUGCAAGUCGAACGAGAAAGCUUCCUUCGGGAAGUGAGUAGAGUGGCGAACGGGUGAGUAACACGUGAGUAAUUUGCCUUAGGGUUGGGGAUAACAUCUCGAAAGAGUUGCUAAUACCGAAUAAGACUACGGACUCCUCGGAGUCAGCAGCCAAAGGGGGUUUCGGCUCUCGCCUUUUGAUAAGCUCGCGUCCCAUUAGCUAGUUGGUAGGGUAAUGGCCUACCAAGGCGAUGAUGGGUAGCUGGUCUGAGAGGAUGAUCAGUCACACUGGAACUGAGACACGGUCCAGACUCCUGCGGGAGGCAGCAGUGGGGAAUAUUGCGCAAUGGGCGAAAGCCUGACGCAGCAACGCCGCGUGGGUGAUGAAGGCUCUCGGGUCGUAAAACCCUGUCAGAGGGGAAGAACUGGUAGUUGAGUAAAUGCCUCUACCUUGACGGUACCCUCAAAGGAAGCACCGGCUAACUCCGUGCCAGCAGCCGCGGUAACACGGGGGGUGCGAGCGUUGUUCGGAAUUACUGGGCGUAAAGCGCGUGUAGGCGGAAUGUUAAGUCAGAUGUGAAAGCCCACAGCUCAACUGUGGAACUGCAUUUGAAACUGGCAAUCUAGAGUGCGGGAGAGGGAAGGGGAAUUCCAGGUGUAGAGGUGAAAUUCGUAGAUAUCUGGAGGAAUACCGGUGGCGAAGGCGCCUUCCUGGACCGACACUGACGCUGAGACGCGAAAGCGUGGGGAGCAAACAGGAUUAGAUACCCUGGUAGUCCACGCCGUAAACGAUGAGAACUAGGUGUUGCGGGUAUCGACCCCUGCAGUGCCAAAGCUAACGCAUUAAGUUCUCCGCCUGGGGAGUACGGUCGCAAGAUUAAAACUCAAAGGAAUUGACAGGGGCCCGCACAAGCGGUGGAGUAUGUGGUUUAAUUCGAUGCAACGCGAAGAACCUUACCUGGAUUUGACAUCCUCGGAACUUUCCAGAGAUGGAUUGGUGCCUUCGGGAACCGAGUGACAGGUGCUGCAUGGCUGUCGUCAGCUCGUGUCGUGAGAUGUUGGGUUAAGUCCCGCAACGAGCGCAACCCUUGUCCUUAGUUACCAUCAUUCAGUUGGGGACUCUAAGGAGACUGCCGGUGUUAAACCGGAGGAAGGUGGGGAUGACGUCAAGUCCUCAUGGCCCUUACAUCCAGGGCUACACACGUACUACAAUGGUCGGUACAAAGAGUCGCUAACUCGCGAGAGUGUGCUAAUCUCAAAAAACCGGCCUCAGUUCGGAUUGCAGUCUGCAACUCGACUGCAUGAAGUCGGAAUCGCUAGUAAUCGCGUAUCAGCAUGACGCGGUGAAUACGUUCCCGGGCCUUGUACACACCGCCCGUCACACCACGGGAGUCGAUUGGACCUGAAAUCGGUGGGCUAACCUUCGGGAGGCAGCCGCUUAUGGUCUGGUUGGUAACUGGGGUGAAGUCGUAACAAGGUAGCCG